GUGCUCACUUUGGCAGCACAUAUACUAAAAUUGGACUGAUACAGAGAAGAUUAGCAUGGCCCCUGUGCAAGGAUGACAAGAAUGAAUGAAUGAAUAAAUAAAUACAG
rnacentral:snRNA from 1 species